CGAUGUCGACUUGGAGGUUGUGCCCUGAGGCGUGGCUUCCGGAGCUAACGCGUUAAGUCGACCGCUGGGGAGUACGGCCGCAAGGUUAAAACUCAAAUGAAUUGACGGGGGCCCGCACAAGCGGUGGAGCAUGUGGUUUAAUUCGAUGCAACGCGAAGAACCUUACCUACUCUUGACAUCCAGAGAACUUUCCAGAGAUGGAUUGGUGCCUUCGGGAACUCUGAGACAGGUGCUGCAUGGCUGUCGUCAGCUCGUGUUGUGAAAUGUUGGGUUAAGUCCCGCAACGAGCGCAACCCUUAUCCUUUGUUGCCAGCGGUUCGGCCGGGAACUCAAAGGAGACUGCCAGUGAUAAACUGGAGGAAGGUGGGGAUGACGUCAAGUCAUCAUGGCCCUUACGAGUAGGGCUACACACGUGCUACAAUGGCGCAUACAAAGAGAAGCGACCUCGCGAGAGCAAGCGGACCUCAUAAAGUGCGUCGUAGUCCGGAUUGGAGUCUGCAACUCGACUCCAUGAAGUCGGAAUCGCUAGUAAUCGUAGAUCAGAAUGCUACGGUGAAUACGUUCCCGGGCCUUGUACACACCGCCCGUCACACCAUGGGAGUGGGUUGCAAAAGAAGUAGGUAGCUUAACCUUCGGGAGGGCGCUUACCACUUUGUGAUUCAUGACUGGGGUGAAGUCGUAACAAGGUAACCA
rnacentral:rRNA from 1 species